GAUUUUGAUUUUUUUUUUAAUUUAAAAAUGCAUUUUAAAUGCUUAUAGGUGGAAAAUGUUCAGUGCCAUGAUUGCUCAAUUCCAUGACGAGUCAGUACCAGGAUAGCCUAGUGGUUUAUGGCUUGCUCCUGAGUCAUGUAUUAAUACAGGAAGAUUGAAGAUGUGUCAUGCCAAGACGUAAUGUGCAACUUUGAGAUCAGUGCAGGCAUUUUUGUGUCACCUGUACAAUAUAUUGGCGACAUACAGGGAUCUCUUCUUCAUUGUCUUCCAGUACAAAAAUACAGAUACUUAAGGACUGUGGGAACAAUAGUUUAUGGGAUACCUGACAAGCAAUAGAAGAUUAAAAUUCCAUUUAUGUUAUUCAGCAGUUCAAACACAGGGUAAGAAGACAAGAUGCACCAUUUUCCCGAGAGGACAACACAAAAUAAAACUGUUGUGGCUUAUAAGUGACUUAAAAUAUGAAAACUUCAGAAUUAAAAAUCGAAUCUUUCAAAUGUGAAUUGUGACACUUGAUUGGAUUUUUGGCCUAGAUAUAAUUGAAGCCUCAUAUGUGCAACUGUGUCUUGACUCAUCUGUGAUGCGGUGGCAUAUAGCAAAUCAACUUUGGACGUGCACUGUUUGAGAUGUAAAAUUGGAUUUUAAUAGCACCUGACCAAAAUUUUGAUAUGUGACUUACUUUCUUUUCCUGUGAUGUACAGUUUUGAAAUUUGGUCCAUGUGCACGAUUUUGAAUGUCAAAUUGAAUUUUGAUAUCAGCUGGCUUAGAUUUUGAUGAUGUGGCCUACUUUCUGUUCCUUUGAUGUACAGUCAUGAAAUUUAGGCCAUGUAAAAUACCACCAAAUUCACUAAACUCAAAUGCUUUAUGGCAAAGUUCAAUUGAUUAUAAACUAAAAAAAAUCUGUUCCUACACUACUAUUUAGUGUUGUGUUAUAUAAUGCGGUGGCAUAGCAUUUUUCAAAAAUGCAAUCUUGUUAGCAAUUGAUAUGAUGUUUGAUUGGUCAUAUAUUUGGCUGUUAAUGAUAAAUGAUAUAUUUCAAAUGUAAAAGUUUAAGUGGGAAUAUUGGUUUUAGGCUGAUAAUCAGUCUGGCUGUCUGCUUGCACUUCCUAAAAACCAUGCAACCAAUUUCAAUAAAA